rnacentral:rRNA from 1 species
AACGAACGCUGGCGGCAUGCCUAACACAUGCAAGUCGAACGAGAUCUUCGGGUCUAGUGGCGCACGGGUACGUAACGCGUGGGAAUCUGCCCUUUGGUUCGGAAUAACAGUUGGAAACGACUGCUAAUACCGGAUGAUGACGAAAGUCCAAAGAUUUAUCGCCAGAGGAUGAGCCCGCGUAGGAUUAGCUAGUUGGUGUGGUAAAGGCGCUCCAAGGCGACGAUCCUUAGCUGGUCUGGGAGGAUGAUCAGCCACACUGGGACUGAGACACGGCCCAGACUCCUACGGGAGGCAGCAGUGGGGAAUAUUGGACAAUGGGCGAAAGCCUGAUCCAGCAAUGCCGCGUGAGUGAUGAAGGCCUUAGGGUUGUAAAGCUCUUUUACCCGGGAUGAUAAUGACAGUACCGGGAGAAUAAGCUCCGGCUAACUCCGUGCCAGCCGCCGCCGUAA